CAAUAGCGUAUAUUAAAGUUGUUGCAGUUAAAAAGCUCGUAGUUGGAUUUCUGGUGGGAGCGAUCGGUCUGGCGCUUAGCGCGAGUACUUGCAUCGUCUCCGGCCAUCCUUGGGGAGAGUCUGUCUGGCAUUAGGUUGUCGGGCAGAGGAUCCUCAUCGUUUACUGUGAAAAAAUUAGAGUGUUCAAAGCAGGCUUAUGCCGUUGAAUAUAUUAGCAUGGAAUAAUAAGAUAGGACUUUGGUACUAUUUUGUUGGUUUGCGCACCAAAGUAAUGAUUAAUAGGGACAGUUGGGGGUAUUCGUAUUCCGUUGUCGGAGGUGAAAUUCUUGGAUUUACGGAAGACGAACUACUGCGAAAGCAUUUACCAAGGACGUUUUCAUUAA
rnacentral:rRNA from 1 species